CAGUCUUUUGUCUCUUAAGAAACUCAACCACUGACUUUGGAUGAAAUACAAAGACACCGGUAUUAAAAUGUCAUCAACCCUUUUUAAAAAUGCUAUAAUAGCUCUGUUGACCAUCAUCUCUGUUAUGCCAUAUGAUCUCUCUGCUGACCCCUGCGUCAACUACACUGU